rnacentral:tRNA from 1 species
AUCGGAAUGUUGGAAUUGGUAGACAUAACGCACUUAAAAUGCGUUGCUCCUUGGGGCGUGAGGGUUCGACUUCCUCUUCCGAUACCAAAA